UUUGUUAUGGACUUCGAGCAUGGUCUAAGGCAAACGGCCUCAUCCUCAAUGAAACCAAAACAAAGCCAUCGUCGGGCCCAUGCAGGGGUGGUUACAACAUGGAAUACAGUACAAAAAAAGAAUAAAGUGAAACUAGUGUAUCCAAAACAAAGAGCAUUAGCACACACAAAAAAGAACACACUCAAUAAAUAUAUACACUGUUUAAAUGAGCCGUCCGGGAAGCAGGAGAAACAGCGUUUACCAUAAGAAUGCAUCUACAGAGGCUGCAUAUGAAAUACAGGUAAUAUCACCAUUCGAAUUCCAGAUUCUCAAUACUGUCAAUAAUUGCGUUGGCAGAUGGGCAAUUUACGGCUCUAGAGGGUAGUAUGUUCCAAUGGGAAAUGGCGUGUGGGAAUAAAGAGUACUUGUGAGUGUUAUUAUGGC
rnacentral:lncRNA from 1 species